UAUGAUAUUCCCUUGUCUCCAAAGUCAGUCUGUACAUGUGGCAUCUCAGUUGACAAAUGUCUCUGUAAAGAUCUGAAUUUCAGUCUGAUUCACUUGUGUGUCAGUGUUCUAAACCUUACUGCUGUGAUGCCGUCACACCCUGAGUCCUUCACCCACUCCCUUCAUCCUCUCCCAGGAUCCUGUCUAUGGAGUGCAACAAAACCUCCUAGGCCUCUGCUUUUUCUGUAUUCUAAAAUCCCAUCAGUAUCUGUGCACAUCAACAAUCUCCAGGAGGUGAAAAGUAUUCAGAGAUAAUUCCUUCUUUCACUGUCUGACAACCCCUGAGCUCUGUUUUACAUUUCAAACUCUUGUAUCUUGCCGUUUGAGAGUAUUUAUUCGCUUUUUGAUCUGUUGUUUUGAAAUUCCUUUCGUUUUUCUGCUGUUUUUCUUUUCUGUCUACCUCAGGAGGCUCCUGGCAGACACACUGUAUGCUGGAACUGGAACUGACAAGACCAUGAAUGAGCUCCCUUAAAGAUUAUCCUAGUGUCCUGGUGAGGGGCGUGUUUGAUCAAGUAUUCAGGAAUCCAGCAGACUUUAUUCUCAGUAUGAGGGACCAUCAGAGGAGCGAGUUGUCAGGGGGUAAGAUGAUGCCACACAGAUGUAAAUGAUUCACACGCUGUCGACACUUCAACUUAAUACAUGUAAGUUUUGGUUAGCUGACCUUAGUUUUAAUUGGAUUACUGUAUAUAUGUCUGGGAACAAAAGUGAACAUCAU